GUCGUUGGGGUUGUCCUGUGCAUUGUAGGAGGUACAGCAGCAUCCUUGGUCUCCACCCACUAGAUGCCAGUAGCACUCCAAGCUGUGAAGAUGGAACAGUCUCAAGACAUUGCCAGAAGCCUUACAAGACAGAAGUGAAUGGGGGCCAAUAUUCAACAUUCUUAAAGCAAAGAAUUUUCAACCCAGAAUUUCAUAUCCAGGCGAACUAACUUCAUAAGCAAAGGAAAAAUAAAGUCCUUUACAGACAAGCAAAUGCUGAGAGAUUUUGUCACCACCAGGCCUGCCUUACAAGAGCUCCUGAAAGAAGCAACCUGACCCUAAAGCCAACACUUUACUGCUUCCACAGUAAAAAUGGGGAAGAUGCAGGCCUUGUAGGAAUUUCCAAGGAACAAGUGAAAUUAAUAUCAGAGCAAAUACAUUUUAUUAGUGCUCUUACAAUCCUAAAAGAGGCAAUAACUUAAAUGACUGGAACCACCAAGGAAUUUGAAAUUUACUUUACCAGUGUCUUUCAAAUACGUUGAGGAGGUCCAGCCCCUGAAAACGAUGGCAUUCUUCUCAGAACAUCAUGAAAUAACGAUGUAGCCAAGGACAUCAUUGGAAGUAGGAAAAAACUUUACUCUCAGAAAAUAUGCUUGCGUUCUGAACCUCUAAAUAGGACCACUAAUAUAUAUAAUAUUUGGAGAAAUCAUGUCUGUUAUCAGGUUUUUACUUUCAUAUUUUUGCCUAUUGGUCAUUCCUUUUACCCUCUGUUAACAGGAGACAAAUGGUAGCAAGUCUCAUUUUUCUGCAUUUAGGAAAAAAUCAAAGAUGAAAUAAAUAAUAUUCUGUAUUAUUUCAUCUUUCUAUAAUUUUGGAAAAGAACAUGAUGUCCUAUGGCAAGACAAUAAGCUUGUUCAUCUUUUGGAACACUCCCAGAGAACAGUCAGGAACCACUGGACAGACCAGAAAAUGUCCUAAGCUUUGUUACUUUGAGAAUACCUUUGCCAUAAAAGCUUUUUUAGUUGUAUAUUUUGAAAAUAAUUGUAUAACUAAGGAAUAUUUAUUGAAAAUUUUUGGGAAAUAAAGAUACUCAUAAUAUGACUUUUCCAAUAUGCUCU
rnacentral:lncRNA from 10 species